UUUGUGUUUUUUGCAGUUUUUUUCUUGUUGAUUUCCAGUCGUAUAGUGUUGUGGUUGGAAAAGAUGCUUGAUAUGAUUUCAAUUUUCUUAAAGUUACCGAGGUUGGAUUUGUAGCCCAGGAUAUGAUCAAUCUUAGAGAAUGUUCCAUGUGCACUUGAGAAGAAUGUGUGUUCUGUUGCUUUUGGAGGAAAUGUCCUAUAAAUAUCUAUGAAGUCCAUCUGGUUUAAUGCUUCAUUCAGGGCCUGUGUUUCCUUAUUGAUUUUCUGUCUGGUUGAUCUGUCCAUUGCUGUACAUGGGGUGUUAAAGUCCCCCACUAUGAUUGUGUUAUUGUCAAUUUCUCCUUUUAAGGUUGUUAGCAGUUGCCUUACAUAUUGUGGUGAACCUGUGUUGGGUGCGUAGAUAUUUAAAAUUGUUAUAACAUCUUCUUAAAUUGAUCCUUUGAUCAUUAUGUAAUGUCCUUCUUUAUCCGUGAAAAUAUUCUUCCUUUUAAAGUCUAUUUUGUCUGAUAUGAGUAUUGCUACUCCAGCUUUCUUUUGAUCCCCGUUUGCAUGAAAUAUUUUCUUCCAUCCUCUCACUUUCAAUUUAUAUGUGUCCCUAGAAGUGAAGUCAGUCUCUUGAAGACAGCAUAUAUAUGGGUCUUGUUUUUGUAUCCAUUCAGCCAGUCUAUGUCUUUUGGCUGGGGCGUUUAGUCCAUUCCCAUUUAAGGUAAUUAUUGAUAUGUAUAUUCUUAUUGCCAUUGUAUUAAUUCCUUUGGAUUUGUUUUUGCUGCUCUUUUUCCUUUCCUUCUUCUCUUGUUCUUUUCUGGCUAUAGAAGUUCCUUUAGUAUUUGUUAGAUGCCUUGUUUGGGUGUCAAUUGUAGAUUUUUGGUUUGCAGUUAUUCUGGAGUUUUGAUAUGAGUCCAUAUGUAUAUGAGAUUGUUUUAAGUUGUUGUUCUCUUAAUUGCAAGUUCAUCUCUAGUGUCCUGCAUUUGUACCCACCUCUUCUCAUGAUUUCUGAUUUUGGUGGCAUAAUUGUGCAUGGAUGAUUUCAUAUCUUUACUGUAUAUAUACCUUUACUGGUGAGCCUUGUCAUUUGUGGAAUUUUUGUUUCCUGUUGCUGUCUUUUCUUUUCUGCCUAGAGAAGUUCCUUUAGUAUUUCUGGUAAGGCUGGUUUAGUAUUGCUGAAUUCUCUCAACUUUUGCUUAUCUGUGAAGCUUUUGAUUUCUCCUUCAAAUCUGAAUGAGAGCCUUGCUGGGUAGAGUAAUCUUGGUUGGAGGUUUUUUCUUUCAUCACAUUAAGUAUAUCAUGCCACUCCCUUCUGGCCUGCAGAGUUUCUGCUGAAAAAUCUGCCAAUAGCCUUAUUGGGGUUCCCUUGUAUGUUAUUUGUUUUUUUUCCCUAGCUGCUUUCAAGAUUUUCUCUUUGUCUUUAAUUUUGGUCAGUUGGAUUAAUAUGUGUCUUGGUGUAUUCCUCCUUGGGUUUAUUUUGUAUGGUACUCGUUGUGCUUCCUGGAUUUGAGGGAGAGGCUCCUUUCCCAUGUGGGGGAAGUUUUUGGCUAUUAUCUCUUGGAAUACUUUUUCUGUCUCCUUCUCUCUCUUUUCUCCUUCUGGCACCCAUAUAAUAUGGAUGUUGGUGCGUUUAACAUUGUCCCAGAGUUCUCUGAGACACUCUUCAUUUGUUUUCAAUCUUUUUUCUCUUUUCUGCUCCGCAUCCGUAAUUUCCACUCAUCUGUCCUCCACCUCACUUAUUCAUUCUUCUGCCUCCUGGAUUCUGCUGUUAGCUGCCUCUAGUGAAUUUUUUAUUUCAGUUGUUGUAUUUUGCGUCUCUUCUUGUUUCAGUUUUACACCUUGUAUCUCUUUGGUCAGUGUUUCCUGUAAGUUUUCCAUCUUUGCCUCCAUAUCUUUCCAAUGUCUUGCAUCAUCUUUGGCAUCAACAAUCUAAAGACUUUUUCCUGGAGGCUGAGAAUCUCCUCAUCACUUAGCUGAUUUUCUGGGGUUUUUCCUUUCUCCCUCAUCUGAGUUAUAGUUCUCUGUCUUUUCAUUUUUAUAGGUUUUUGGUGUGGUGACCUUUUUACAGAUAAUAGCAUUGUAGCCUCUCUUACUUCUGGUGUCUGCCCCCCCUUGUGGCUGAAGUCAAUAUGGGGACUUGCUGUAUGUUUCCUGAUGGGAGGGGCUGGUAGGUGGAGCCGAUUCUAAUCCCUCUGGUGGGUGGGGCUUAGUCUCUGGAUGGGAUUAGAGGCAGCUGUGUGCCUGAGGGUCUUUAGGUAGCCUGUUUACUGAGGGGCAGCAGUGCUGUUGUCCCACCUGGGUUGUUGUUUGCCCUGGGGCUUCUCAGCACUGAGUGAUGGGUGGGGCCAGAUUUUCCCAAAAUGGCCACCUCCAGAGAAAGGCAGCUGCUGAAUAUUCCCAAGAGCUUUGCUUUCAAUGUCCAUCCCUCACAAGAAGCCACAUUCACCCCUGUUUUCCCAGGAUGUCUUCCAAGAACUGCAGUCAGGUUUGACCCAGAUUCCUAUGAAGACGUUGCUCUGCCCUGGAACCCAGUGCACGUGAAAGUCCGUGUGUGCCUUUUAAGAAUGGGGUCUC
rnacentral:lncRNA from 1 species